UCGAGCGAAGUUUUUAAAGCGGAUCCCUUCGGGGUGAAACUUUAAUUAUCUUAGCGGCGGACGGGUGAGUAACGCGUGAGAAACCUGCCUUUCACAAAGGGAUAGCCUCGGGAAACUGGGAUUAAUACCUUAUGAUACUUCUACUUCACAUGAAGAAAAAGUUAAAGCGUAAAGCGGUGAAAGAUGGUCUCGCGUCCCAUUAGCUAGUUGGUGAGGUAAUAGCUUACCAAGGCGACGAUGGGUAGCCGGCCUGAGAGGGUGAACGGCCACACUGGAACUGAGACACGGUCCAGACUCCUACGGGAGGCAGCAGUGGGGAAUAUUGCACAAUGGAGGAAACUCUGAUGCAGCGACGCCGCGUGAACGAUGAAGGCUUUCGGGUCGUAAAGUUCUGUCCUAGGGGACGAUAAUGACGGUACCCUAGGAGGAAGCCCCGGCUAACUACGUGCCAGCAGCCGCGGUAAUACGUAGGGGGCAAGCGUUGUCCGGAUUUAUUGGGCGUAAAGGGUUCGCAGGUGGUCCUUUAAGUCAGAUGUGAAAGAUCACAGCUCAACUGUGGUAAGCAUUUGAAACUGAAGGACUUGAGUUAAGGAGAGGAAAGUGGAAUUCCUAGUGUAGCGGUGAAAUGCGUAGAUAUUA
rnacentral:rRNA from 1 species